GCUGCGAUUUGCUGGGUUGUCCUUAUAUUUUUUCUUCUUAGUUUUUUCCCCUCCCCUGCUUCCUUCCCCUCUUCCGCCUUCUUCUCCCGCUUCCCAGCCCUCUCUCGAUGCUGCUCCGGGGGUAAGGACAGCCCUAUCCCACCGCUGCUCUGCCCUGGGGCAGCGAGGGGCCGUGGGCGCAUGGAAGGGGGCUCUCCUGCUGAGACGCGGCGGGGUCCGCGGCCCCCCAAGCAGCACAGCCAGAGCAGCAGCCGAACCUCUGCCCUGUUGGAGCACCCCGAGGCCUCCCGCGGGCCCCACGCCAUCCUGGAGAGCAAGGUGAAGGCGCUGAAGGAGAAGNNNNNNNNNNNNNNNNNNNNNNNNNNNNNNNNNNNNNNNNNNNGCGGCGGGGGAGGCCGGGAGCAGAUGCGGCAGCAGUGGAGCCGCGGGCUCAGCUCCGCACCUACCUGACGGAUGGGCUCCUGGACGGGGAGCCUGCGACUGACAGCACCCCAGCACCCCGCGCUGGCACCUGGCGGGUGCCGGCAGCCAGAGAUGUGCCUGGAGGCACCGAGCUCCCUCAAGGGGAGAGCAGUGGGACCCGGGGCUCUGCCUCCCCCCGGGAGAGACAUCCCCUGGGAGAAGAGGCACGAACCCCACUGCAGGACCGGGGGGGUCCGUCUGUGUCGCCCACCACGGCCAAGAGCUGGGAGAGGCUCUCUCUGGCCGAGCGUGUGGAGAGGAACCGGCGGCUGCUGCAGGAGGUGCUGGGCCUCGAUGCCCCUGAGGUGCCAGCGAGUGAUGGGGACUGGGACUCAGGGGUGUCACUGCAGGACAUCGAGGGCUGCAGGGCCUUUGUCCCUGGGCAGGAGCUCGAGCUGAGCCCGCGGCACGAGCAGGCCAAGC
rnacentral:lncRNA from 14 species